AACGAACGCUGGCGGCAGGCCUAACACAUGCAAGUCGAACGAACCGUUUACGGUGAGUGGCGCACGGGUGAGUAACACGUGGGAAUAUACAUUUCGGUAAGGAAUAACGUAGAGAAAUUUACGCUAAUACCUUAUAAUGACUACGGUCCAAAGAUUUAUCGCCGAAGGAUUAGCCCGCGUUAGAGUAGGUAGUUGGUAGGGUAAUGGCCUACCAAGCCUACGAUCUAUAGCUGGUCUUAGAGGAUGGUCAGCCACACUGGAACUGAGACACGGGCCAGACAGCUACGGGAGGCAGCAGGGAGGAAUAUUGAGCAAUGGGGGAAACCAUGACGCAGCCAUGCCGCGUGAGUGACGAAGGCCUUAGGGUUGUAAAGCUCUUUCAGAUGUAAAGAUAAUGACGGUAACAUCAGAAGAAGCUCCGGCUAAAUUCGUGCCAGCCGCCGCGGUAA
rnacentral:rRNA from 1 species